CCUUCGGGGUACUCGAGCGGCGAACGGGUGAGUAACACGUGAGUAAUCUGCCCCAGGCUCUGGGAUAGCCACCGGAAACGGUGAUUAAUACCGGAUACGACAACCGAUUGCAUGAUCUGGUUGUGGAAAGUUUUUCGGCCUGGGAUGUGCUCGCGGCCUAUCAGCUUGUUGGUGAGGUAAUGGCUCACCAAGGCUUCGACGGGUAGCCGGCCUGAGAGGGUGACCGGCCACACUGGGACUGAGACACGGCCCAGACUCCUACGGGAGGCAGCAGUGGGGAAUAUUGGACAAUGGGCGGAAGCCUGAUCCAGCAACGCCGCGUGAGGGAUGACGGCCUUCGGGUUGUAAACCUCUUUCAGCACAGACGAAGCGCAAGUGACGGUAUGUGCAGAAGAAGGACCGGCCAACUACGUGCCAGCAGCCGCGGUAAUACGUAGGGUCCGAGCGUUGUCCGGAAUUAUUGGGCGUAAAGGGCUCGUAGGCGGUCUGUCGCGUCGGGAGUGAAAACCAGGUGCUUAACACCUGGCCUGCUUUCGAUACGGGCAGACUAGAGGUACUCAGGGGAGAAUGGAAUUCCUGGUGUAGCGGUGAAAUGCGCAGAUAUCAGGAGGAACACCGGUGGCGAAGGCGGUUCU
rnacentral:rRNA from 1 species